rnacentral:lncRNA from 1 species
UUUUAGCCAGAGGGUCAUUAGGUUUAUUUCAACAUCAACAUUAGGUGACUCAUCAAAAGUCCUCUUUCAGCUUCCUUCCAUAUACGUUUAGCUUUAAAAAAUCAGAACAUUAUCUUUUCUAAUGCUCUGAGGCUCCCAUUCAGGAAUGCAGUUGAUUUUUCCCGUUUCAGAAGCGUGAGCAGCUACCCAGGCCAAGUGGGAGGGCAUUUCCACUGGGACAAGGCCUUAGAGGUCUACCCCGCACGUGUCCUGCAGAGCCACAGCUUCUGUUGGGGUGGGCACCUUCGCAAGUGUGACACAGAAUCCCUGCUUUGAACCUUUGAACUUGAGUGAAGGGCUGUGGCCUCCCAGAACUUUCUUGGCUUGCCUGGGGGCUCCCCAAGGUACUGUGGCAUUGCAGUACCACAAACCCACGCACUCAAGUCCAGACGUUGCUUAGGAUGCAGAGAGCGAUGCGAGGCCUGGCCCAUCUGAUGUGAUAGCCUGGCCCACUCCCCUGACAAGCUCUCCU